UACGGAGGGGGCUAGCGUUGUUCGGAAUUACUGGGCUUAAAGGGCGCGUAGGCGGACUGCCAAGUCCGGGGUGAAAUCUUUCGGCUUAACCGGAAAAGGGCCUUGGAAACUGGCGGUCUCGAGGGAGGUAGGGGCCUGUGGAACUUCGGGUGGAGCGGUGAAAUGCGUUGAUAUCCGAAGGAACGCCGGUGGCGAAAGCGACGGGCUGGAUCUCUUCUGACGCUGAGGCGCGAAAGCCAGGGGAGCAAACGGG
rnacentral:rRNA from 1 species